AUUGAACGCUGGCGGCAUGCUUUACACAUGCAAGUCGAACGGUAACAGGCCGCAAGGUGCUGACGAGUGGCGAACGGGUGAGUAAUGCAUCGGAACGUGCCCAGUCGUGGGGGAUAACGCAGCGAAAGCUGCGCUAAUACCGCAUACGAUCUAUGGAUGAAAGCGGGGGACCGUAAGGCCUCGCGCGAUUGGAGCGGCCGAUGUCAGAUGAGGUAGUUGGUGGGGUAAAGGCUCACCAAGCCAACGAUUUGUAGCUGGUCUGAGAGGACGACCAGCCACACUGGGACUGAGACACGGCCCAGACUCCUACGGGAGGCAGCAGUGGGGAAUUUUGGACAAUGGGCGCAAGCCUGAUCCAGCAAUGCCGCGUGCAGGAAGAAGGCCUUCGGGUUGUAAACUGCUUUUGUACGGAACGAAACGGUCCGGGUUAAUACCCUGGGCUAAUGACGGUACCGUAAGAAUAAGCACCGGCUAACUACGUGCCAGCAGCCGCAGUAAAAC
rnacentral:rRNA from 1 species